CGGGUGAGCUGCGCCGUCCUUGGUGCUUUCAGCUUCUUUACAGUGCUGCCUUGUUGCAUUCAUGUCAAGCAGCAUUGUACAGGGCUAUGAAAGAACCAAGGUUUUUGCUUCCUCUGGGGA
rnacentral:pre_miRNA from 13 species